CUUUGCCAAACAGUUGCAGCCGAGCCUGCCAACAACGAAAGACGAGCAAUGUCUUCCCCACCUGCGGCAGACCAAGCAUCCAGCCCACUUCAAGACAACAUUGAAUUGUUCGAUGAUAAAGAUACAGAGCAUGUUGAUAUCUCUAUAGCUUCUAAACCAGUCGCUGAAGAGGAAAGCGAUUUGAACCUAUUGAUAAAAGAAUGUUCUUCACCCAUUCCUAACGCGGAAAAGCCCUCGACUGAGUCCGCUCAAGAUCCUGACACCUCUAAAAAUACGCCAGAUGUUUCGGUCGAGAAAAAAUCCAAAUUAGACGAUAGUCUAGAAAAAGAAGAGCAGAUACGAAUAGAGGCGAAGAAACGCGCUGUGGAAAUACUCAAGA